rnacentral:rRNA from 1 species
GUGGGGAAUUUUGGACAAUGGGGGAAACCCUGAUCCAGCCAUCCCGCGUGUGCGAUGAAGGCCUUCGGGUUGUAAAGCACUUUUGGCAGGAAAGAAACGGCGCGUGCUAAUACCAUGCGCAACUGACGGUACCUGCAGAAUAAGCACCGGCUAACUACGUGCCAGCAGCCGCGGUAAUACGUAGGGUGCAAGCGUUAAUCGGAAUUACUGGGCGUAAAGCGUGCGCAGGCGGUUCGGAAAGAAAGAUGUGAAAUCCCAGGGCUCAACCUUGGAACUGCAUUUUUAACUACCGGACUAGAGUAUGUCAGAGGGAGGUGGAAUUCCACGUGUAGCAGUGAAAUGCGUAGAUAUGUGGAGGAACACCGAUGGCGAAGGCAGCCUCCUGGGAUAAUACUGACGCUCAUGCACGAAAGCGUGGGGAGCAAACAGG